UACGGAGGGUGCGAGCGUUGUCCGGAAUCACUGGGCGUAAAGGCGCGUAGGCGGCCUGAUAAGUAGGGGUGAAAUCCUGCGGCUUAACCGCAGGGCUGCCUUCUAAACUGUCAGGCUUGAGCACAGUAGAGGCAGGUGGAAUUCCCGGUGUAGGCGGAUGGAUGCGUAGAGAUCGGGAAGAACAUCAGUGGCGAAGGCCGGCCUGCUGGGCUGUUGCUGACGCUGAGGCGCGACAGCGGUGGGGAGCAAACAGG
rnacentral:rRNA from 1 species